rnacentral:rRNA from 1 species
CCUACGGGAGGCAGCAGGGAGGAAUAUUGGUCAAUGGACGAGAGUCUGAACCAGCCAAGUAGCGUGAAGGAUGACUGCCCUAUGGGGUGUAAACUUCUGUUAUAUGGGAAUAAAAUGUACCACGUGUGGGAUUUUGUAUGUACCAUAUGAAUAAGGAUCGGCUAACUCCGUGCCAGCAGCCGCGGUAAUACGGAGGAUCCGAGCGUGAUCCGGAUUUAUUGGGUUUAAAGGGAGCGUAGGUGGAUUGUUAAGUCAGUGGUGAAAGUUUGCGGCUCAACCGUACAAUUGCAGUUGAAACUGGCAGUCUUGCGUCCAGUCGAGGUGGGCUGCCUUCGUGGUGUAGCGGUGACCUGCUUAGAUCUCAC